GCCCUCAUAGCUUAACUGGUAAAGCAGCUGCCUCUUAAGCAGUUGACUCCAGGUUCGAGUCCUGGUGGGGGCA
rnacentral:tRNA from 1 species